rnacentral:lncRNA from 10 species
CUGAGAUUUCCUCUCCGUGACCCUUCUUCCCCCUCUAGGGGUCCUGGGCUGCCCUGAGGCCACCGCCUAGCAAGAUCAAGAUAGGGCUUGAGCGGCAGUGGGAUAGGGCAGUGGGGGUUCCGGGGGGGUCCGGUGCAGGCAGAACCAAGAGUGUGCCGGCGGAGGGCUGUCGGUACAGGGUGCAGGGCGUGGCGGCUGCAGGACCUCAGCUUGCCUCUUUAAAUCCCUUCCUGGGCACCGCGGUGGCCCGGCCCUUUCCCCUCGUGCUGUUUCUGCUGGAAACGCCGCACAGUCUCCUCGGGGGCAGCCGCCAGCGGAAACGGUUAUUGGCCGCCAGGCAAGCCAGUCCCAUCCUUCCCAGCAACUGGGACUUUCCGGGCAGGGCUCCCCAGCGCGGGUUCAGCUAAUUAAGGAAGCAAUUAGCCUCCCCUGAGGCUAUUCAUGCUUCCUCACCCACAGUUCUCAGGUUCUGUGAGACCAGAGCCUCAGUCUCCCGUGAGCAGAGGGUGUGUGUGUGGCUGCCACUAUUCUGCAGACACGCUGGCUCCACCCCAGAGAGUUGCAGGGCCAGGAAAUCUGCAUUUAAACAGACCCUGGCUCUCACACUUCGGAAACUGCCCGAAGCACCUCUCAAAUAUGGGACAGGUGCUUAGGCCGAAAAUCAGGAAUCUCUUGAAUGAAUGCAUGAAGGUGGAGCCCUUUCCCUUAAUGCGCAGGUGAAAAGGGCACCUCGGUGGAUUCUACUAAAUUUAAUAGAAGACCCAAGACGGGGUGGGGGAGACGUGCUUUGUGCUCACCUGGCUGGUUCAUGGGCAGGUGGCCUGGAGGACCCAGCCCUGGCAGCUGUGGGGUAGCUCCAGCCUGGGCCGGACAGCUUCUUUCAUCGCAGGCACCACUGCGGACAUUGCUGGGAGGAAGAGGAGGGAGAAGCGACGGGCUUCAUUAGGAACGGCUUUCGAUGGAUUGGACGAGGCGCGUCCACCCUGGGGAGGGCCAUCAUUUUAUUCAGUCUACUGAUGCAAAUGCUUAUCUCUUCUGGAAACACCUUCACAGACAGACCCAGAAUAUAGUUGAACCAAAUACUGGGCACCUCAUGGCUCCAACAGGUUGACACAAAAAAUGAACCAUUGCAGAAAACGAAGAACAGUCACCAACUCCCACCCAUGCAGCUGGCUCAUUUGCUGGGCUGCCCUCCCCAGCAGGUGGCACAGGAAUCCCUGCCUUGGCAGGGAGGAGGCCUGGGGUGUGUGCAGGUACCCAUGGGAAGUUUCUUUGCCAUGGGGAAAGCCAGAGUCACCCCUUGCUUGAACACAAGAGUUGGAGGUUUCAGUGAGCUGAGAUUACGCUAUUGCACUCCAGCCUGGGCGGCAGAGUGAGACUCUGUCUCUAGAUAAAUAAAUUAAAUAAAUAAAUAAAUAUAAUUUAAUAUAAAUAACUAGAAAUUUUUCAAUACUUGCAUCUCUGUAGGUUACCUCUGGAAGUGCAGGGCUUUGUCUUUUUGGAUUAACUCAGAAAUUAGACCUUCAGAAAACAACAUCAGCUCUGAUUCUCUGCACCCUUGAUGCUGCCGGUGGCGACUGCGGCUUCCUGAUGGAAAUGUAGACCUGAACAUAAGUCGCAGAAAAAUGCAGACUUGAGUUGGAGCUAAGCUGACUCAGAGCUGCCCUAGAAAGAGGCCCCGUGGCAAAGAACCAAAGGCACCCAGCAACACGAGUGAGGGUGGAAGUGGCUCUUUCCCCAUUCCAGCCUCGCGGUGACCGCAGCCCUGGCUGACACCUUGCUUGCAGCCUGGUGAGAGACAGCAGCCCGAGGACCCUGCUAAGCUGCACCCAGGCUCCUGACCCAUGGAAACUGUGAGAUGAUAAACAUGUACUGCUUAAGCUGAGAUUCGGGCUAAUUUGUUACACAGUCAUAGACAUCGUUUUUUGUUGUUGUUGUUUUUUGAGAUGGAGUCUCACUCUGUCGCCCAGGCUGGAGUGCAGUGGCACAAUCUCAGCUCACUGCAACAUCCACCUCCCAGGUUCAAGCGAUUCUCGUGCCUCAGCCUCCCAAGUAGCUGGGAUUACAGGCAUCUGCCACCAUGCCCGGCUAAUUUUUUUGUAUCUUUAGGAGAGACAGGGUUUCACCAUGUUGGCCAGCUGGUCUCAAACUCCUGAGCUCAAGAGAUCUGCCCACCUUGGCCUCCCAAAGUGCUGGGAUUACAGGCAUGAGCCACUGUGCCCGGCCUGUUACACAGUCAUAGACAUCUAUAAAAUACUCAACACGGUGCCGGCGCAUGGCAAGCAUCAGUUACUGACCACGGUGACCCUUCUGUGUACACCAGGGGAACUCAAAAUACUCAGGAAAUCUAAGCAUAUAAGCCUAGUCACCAGGCUGUCGACAUGACCCUUAACAAUGAACCUGUGUCUUUUGCCACCUCAUGAUGUCAUAGAAGAAGAGCAGCAUCAAUGUUAAGAGUCUGGAGGAGGGACUAGAUGCUGUGGCUCACACCUGUAAUCCCAGCACUUUGGGAGGCCGAGGCAGGUGGAUCACCU